rnacentral:rRNA from 1 species
GAUGAACGCUGACAGAAUGCUUAACACAUGCAAGUCUUUGGUGAAGCUGUGCUUGCACAGCCUAGCCAAGGCGGACGGGUGAGUAACGCGUAAGGAACUUGCCCUGCAGUCAGGGAUAACAGACGGAAACGACUGAUAAGACCUGGUAAAGUCAGGCGGACUCAUGUCCAGCCUGAUGAAAAGAGAUGCUGCAGGAGAGCCUUGCGUCCUAUUAGCUUGUUGGUGGGGUAACGGCCCACCAAGGCAAUGAUAGGUAGCCGGCCUGAGAGGGUGGACGGCCACAAGGGGACUGAGAUACGGCCCUUACUCCUACGGGAGGCAGCAGUGGGGAAUAUUGGAAAAUGGGGGCAACCCUGAUCCAGCAAUUCUGUGUGCACGAUGAAGGUUUUCGGAGUGUAAAGUGCUUUCAGCAGGGAAGAAAAAAAUGACGGUACCUGCAGAAGAAGCGACGGCUAAAUACGUG